UUUAAGGUCUAACCUGCCCAAUGAGGAUUUUAAUGGCCGCAGUAUUUUGACUGUGCAAAGGUAGCAUAAUUAUUAGUUUUUUAAUUGAAAGCUUGUAUGAAGGGUUGGACGAGAUGAAAUCUGUCUUUAUUUAAAUUAAAAUAUAAUUUAACUUUUAAGUAAAAAGGCUUAAAUGUUUAUAAAAGACGAGAAGACCCUAUAGAUCUUUAUUUAAUUAAAAUUUUAAUAAUUUAGGAUUAUUUUAAUUUAAAGUUUUAAUUAAAUUUUAUUGGGGUAAUAUAAAGAUUAAAUAAAUUCUUUUUAUUUAUGACAUUGAUUUAUGAAUAUAUGAUCCAUUAAUAUUGAUUAUAAGAUUAAGUUACCUUAGGGAUAACAGCGUAAUUUUUUUGGAGAGCUCAUAUCGAUAAAAAAGUUUGCGACCUCGAUGUUGGAUUAAAAAUUAGCUUGGGUGCAGAAGCUCAAGAUUUUGGUCUGUUCGACCAUUAAAUUUUUACAUGAUCUGAGUUCAGACCGGCGUGAGCCAGGUCGGUUUCUAUCUUUAUUAAGAUAAAAUGUUUUAGUACGAAAGGACCAAAUAUUUAAUAUAAUUAUAUUUAUUUUUU
rnacentral:rRNA from 1 species